GAUGAACGCUGGCGGCGUGCCUAAUACAUGCAAGUCGAGCGAACAGAUAAGGAGCUUGCUCCUUUGACGUUAGCGGCGGACGGGUGAGUAACACGUGGGUAACCUACCUAUAAGACUGGAAUAACUCCGGGAAACCGGGGCUAAUGCCGGAUAACAUUUAUAACCGCAUGGUUCUAAAGUGAAAGAUGGUUUUGCUAUCACUUAUAGAUGGACCCGCGCCGUAUUAGCUAGUUGGUAAGGUAACGGCUUACCAAGGCAACGAUACGUAGCCGACCUGAGAGGGUGAUCGGCCACACUGGAACUGAGACACGGUCCAGACUCCUACGGGAGGCAGCAGUAGGGAAUCUUCCGCAAUGGGCGAAAGCCUGACGGAGCAACGCCGCGUGAGUGAUGAAGGUCUUCGGAUCGUAAAACUCUGUUAUUAGGGAAGAACAAAUGUGUAAGUAACUGUGCACGUCUUGACGGUACCUAAUCAGAAAGCCACGGCUAACUACGUG
rnacentral:rRNA from 1 species